rnacentral:rRNA from 1 species
AUUGAACGCUGGCGGCAUGCCUUACACAUGCAAGUCGAACGGCAGCGGGGGAGAAGCUUGCUUUUCCUGCCGGCGAGUGGCGAACGGGUGAGUAAUACAUCUGAACGUGCCCUGUAGUGGGGGAUAACUAGUCGAAAGAUUAGCUAAUACCGCAUACGACCUGAGGGUGAAAGUGGGGGACCGCAAGGCCUCAUGCUAUAGGAGCGGGCGAUGUCUGAUUAGCUAGUGGGUGGGGUAAAGGCCUACCAAGGCGACGAUCAGUAGCUGGUCUGGGAGGACGAUCAGCCACACUGGGACUGAGACACGGCCCAGACUCCUACGGGAGGCAGCAGUGGGGAAUUUUGGACAAUGGGCGAAAGCCUGAUCCACCAAUGCCGCGUGUGUGAAGAAGGCCUUCGGGUUGUAAAGCACUUUUGUCCGGAAAGAAAUGGCUCUGGUUAAUACCUGGGGUCGAUGACGGUACCGGAAGAAUAAGGACCGGCUAACUACGUGCCAGCCGCCGCAGUAAGAC